rnacentral:rRNA from 1 species
UACAGAGGUGGCAAGCGUUGUUCGGAAUUACUGGGCGUAAAGGGCGCGUAGGCGGCCUUCUAAGUCGGACGUGAAAUCCCUCGGCUCAACCGAGGAACUGCGUCCGAUACUGGCAGGCUGGAAUCCGGGAGAGGGAUGUGGAAUUCCAGGUGUAGCGGUGAGAUGCGUAGAUAUCUGGAGGAACACCGGUGGCGAAGGCGGCAUCCUGGACCGGUAUUGACGCUGAGGCGCGAAAGCUAGGGGAGCAAACGGG